GAUGAACGCUGGCGGCGUGCCUAAUACAUGCAAGUCGAGCGAACAGACGAGGAUCUUGCUCCUCUGACGUUAGCGGCGGACGGGUGAGUAACACGUGGAUAACCUACCUAUAAGACUGGGAUAACUUCGGGAAACCGGAGCUAAUACCGGAUAAUAUAUUGAACCGCAUGGUUCAAUAGUGAAAGACGGUUUUGCUGUCACUUAUAGAUGGAUCCGCGCCGCAUUAGCUAGUUGGUGAGGUAACGGCGUACCAAGGCAACGAUGCGUAGCCGGCCUGAGAGGGUGGGAGGGGACACAGGGAGUGAGACAGGGAGCAGAGUCAGACGGGAGGCAGAAGGGGGGAAGAGUGCACAAGGGGCGCAAGCGAGAAGCAGCGACGCCGAGGGAGGAAGGGAGGACGUAGGGUUGAGAACCUCUGUCGCCAGGGAAGAAGGUCCUGCUCUUUGUGGUGACGGUGACGGUAGCGGGGGGAAUGAAGCGCAGGCUAACUACGUG
rnacentral:rRNA from 1 species